UCAAAGGCUCUUUUAAGAGCCACCUAAGUUUAUCCAAUUGAAGGGG
rfam:Danio rerio chromosome 25, GRCz11 reference primary assembly.